CGGGGGUCUCACCCCCUCGGUGCCGGAGCUAACGCAUUAAGUACCCCGCCUGGGGAGUACGAUCGCAAGAUUGAAACUCAAAGGAAUUGACGGGGGCCCGCACAAGCGGUGGAGUAUGUGGUUUAAUUCGAAGCAACGCGCAGAACCUUACCUGGGUUUGACAUGUUUAGGACACCCGGUGAAAGCCGGUCUCCCCUUCGGGGGCCUUUGCACAGGUGCUGCAUGGCUGUCGUCAGCUCGUGCCGUGAGGUGUUGGGUUAAGUCCCGCAACGAGCGCAACCCUUGUCCAUAGUUGCCAUCAGGUAACGCUGGGAACUCUAUGGAGACUGCCGGUGACAAGCCGGAGGAAGGUGGGGAUGACGUCAAGUCCUCAUGGCCCUUACAUCCAGGGCUACACACGUACUACAAUGGUCGGUACAGAAGGUUGCAAUACCGCGAGGUGGAGCUAAUCCCUAAAACCGGCCUCAGUUCAGAUUGGAGUCUGCAACUCGACUCCAUGAAGGAGGAAUCGCUAGUAAUCGCUGAUCAGCAAGCAGCGGUGAAUACGUUCCCGGGCCUUGUACACACCGCCCGUCAAGCCACGGAAGUUGGGAGCACCCGAAGUCGUUUGCCUAACCGCAAGGAUGGCGACGCCUAAGGUGAUACCGAUGACUGGGGCUAAGUCGUAACAAGGUAGCCG
rnacentral:rRNA from 1 species